UGGGAGAAGACGAUCCGGUGGGGAAGAGCAAACUGAGCCGCCUAACACCAACAGAGUAGGAUCACAGAGUUCCCUCGGCGCUACUUCUCCCCGGUUAGGUCCGCCCAGCUUUAUGUCUCUCCAGCCGUGACGUUCUGACCCUGCCGAAGUUGCCUGUAGUCCCGUCCGUUAUACCGGCCUGUUUCCUAAAUAAACAUCUUAAAACUGUGCCUUGCUUCCCGAUCGUAUCUGCAUGUGGACUCG